UCUAGUCCCACGUUCCGUGCCAUCAUAAGCUAGAGCACCUCGAUGCGACCAAGAAAAAAAAGAUAGGCGCCAAAAACGUCAACAAUAAAUUUCAUCAGGAAACCGGCAAGAGCCAGCAAAGCUACGCCGGAGAAUUCAGUGCAAGACAUCAGUCCGUUGAGUGGCAGUCCGCUGAGAACAGUCCGACCGACCGAAGCGACAACAGUAACCGACCGAGGUAAGCCCCACAGUACCGUACAUCGCUCUGCCGCCGCCAGCUCCUUCAUUCCGCCACUGUUGUCAGCAUGUGAUGUAUCGACCUUUAUAGCAGGAUACGUAUACUGGUUCACGCUUCCCAAACUGAUUUUACAAUGUGCGUUGGGUACAGGAUUACAGAUUUGAGUAUAAUAAGACACUUCCAAUCUUCAUCCAGUGCACGUUGCCGACUACUCUAUAUUAUCCCAGC